rnacentral:lncRNA from 10 species
CAGGGCUGGAGGCUGACAGGAAGGAGUUACUGCAGCUGGGAGAGAGGAAUGGGCUUACUGAUGGAGCACCAACCUGCUGGAGGUGCUUGAACACAGAACAUCUCACUUAACUCUUAGCACAAUCCUUAAGAGCCAAAUGUGUGAUCCCCCUCCAGAAAAGACUUGAGUCUUUACAGUUGGAAUUUCCGUGUCGUGAGUGGAUCUUGGUCCAUCACCCAGGCUGGAAUACAGUGGUGCAAUUAUAGUUCACUGCGGCCUCAAAUUCCUGCACUCAACAGAUCCUCCCACCUCAGCCUCGCAACUGGCUGGGACUACAGGGAUGCACCACCACACCUGGCUAAUUUUUAACUCUUUCGUAGGAAUGAGGUCUUGCUGUGUUGCCCAGGCUGGUCUCGAACUCUGGGGGUCAAGAGAUCCUCCCAUCUCGGCCUUCCAAAGUGUUGGGAUUACAGGCACGCACCACCACACCUGGCUACAUGCCUAAUUUAACAUGAGCUAGAGUUAGGUUUGGCCAUCCCUAGUGUUCAGUGGAGUUGUAGAGUUAGUCUCAAAUGCCAGAGUGAAAGUCCUUGCCUAUCACUCCCUCAUGGGGUAACCAUGGUGGAGCUGCCCAAUUUCCUCAUCUCAGAAGUGAAUAUAAUAGCUUCUACCUCAUAGGGUUGUUGUGAGAAUUGCAUGAGGAAACCAUGGAAAGGAAUUCAUAGAGUACUUAGAAAGGCAGUAAGUACAGGGACAGAUUUGGGUUUCAUGGGACUUGAAGACUACACAACUUCGGAAGCCCUCUUUAAUGAAAAGAAGAUAAAUCUUACUUUUGCAAGUUUUAUAUGAAUAUGUGACUAUGUGAACACAUUGCUCAGGUCCUCCCCUCGCCCGCACACAAGGUCUAGAAAAAGGCUUAUUAAAGUGAGACAUCCUGAAGCUUAAGCGUCACCAGCUUCAAGUUCAACCCACCUCUGAAUAAAUGCUUCAAAUAAAU